UACGGAGGGUGCAAACGUUGCUCGGAAUCAUUGGGCGUAAAGCGCACGUAGGCGGUCCAGCAAGUCGGGUGUGAAAGCCCUCGGCUUAACCGAGGAAGUGCAUUCGAAACUACUGGACUUGAGUACUGAAGAGGAUCGCGGAAUUCCCGGUGUAGAGGUGAAAUUCGUAGAUAUCGGGAGGAACACCAGUGGCGAAGGCGGCGAUCUGGGCAGAUACUGACGCUGAGGUGCGAAAGCGUGGGAGCAACAGG
rnacentral:rRNA from 1 species